rnacentral:rRNA from 1 species
AUUGAACGCUGGCGGCAGGCCUAACACAUGCAAGUCGAGCGAGCGGCGGACGGGUGAGUAAUGUAUGGGGACUGCCCGAUAGAGGGGGAUAACUACUGGAAACGGUGGCUAAUACCGCAUACUAUCGGAUAACCCAUAUGGGAUUAGCUAGUAGGUGGGGUAAAGGCUCACCUAGGCGACGAUCUCUAGCUGGUCUGAGAGGAUGAUGAGCCAAACUGGGAAUGAGACAGGGCCCAGACUCCUACGGAGGCAGGAGUGGGGAAUAUUGACCAAUGGGCGCAAGCCUGAUGCAGCCAUGCCGCGUGUAUGAAGAAGGCCUUCGGGUUGUAAAGUACUUUCAGCGAGGAGGCGUUACUCGCAGAAGAAACACCGGCUAACUCCGUGCCAGCAGCCGCGGUAAUAC